rnacentral:lncRNA from 1 species
AAAGCCCUUCAAAACACCAAAUAAAUGGCUAAGAAAAUUAUGGAAGGUUGGAAAUAAAAUAAGAAGUAUAAAAUAAAUUUUUUCAAAAUUUCAAAAUGCAUAAAAUUAUUUUUAAACUAAUCAAAACAAAGGAAAAAAGAGAAAAUCCAUUAAAAAUAGAAAAUCAAUAAAAUAAAAUAUGAAAAAAUAAAUAUCAGAUGAAGAGAAAUAAAAGAGAAUUUUAGAAAUUCUUUUGGUAUUUUUUGGAUGUAAAAUGAAUUUUCUAUGAACUUUAAAAGAAAAU